rnacentral:rRNA from 1 species
AUUGAACGCUGGCGGCAUGCCUUACACAUGCAAGUCGAACGGUAACAGGUCUUCGGAUGCUGACGAGUGGCGAACGGGUGAGUAAUACAUCGGAACGUGCCUAGUAGUGGGGGAUAACUACUCGAAAGAGUGGCUAAUACCGCAUGAGAUCUACGGAUGAAAGCAGGGGAUCGCAAGACCUUGUGCUACUAGAGCGGCCGAUGGCAGAUUAGGUAGUUGGUGGGAUAAAAGCUUACCAAGCCGACGAUCUGUAGCUGGUCUGAGAGGACGAUCAGCCAAACUGGGACUGAGACACGGCCCAGACUCCUACGGGAGGCAGCAGUGGGGAAUUUUGGACAAUGGGCGCAAGCCUGAUCCAGCAAUGCCGCGUGCAGGAUGAAGGCCUUCGGGUUGUAAACUGCUUUUGUACGGAACGAAAAGCCCUGGGUUAAUACCCUGGGGUCAUGACGGUACCGUAAGAAUAAGCACCGGCUAACUACGUGCCAGCAGCCGCCGUAAAAC